ensembl:Y_RNA Y_RNA Y RNA
GGCUGGUCCGAUGGUAGUGGGUUAUCAGAACUUAUUAACAUUAGUGUCACCAAAGUUGGUAUACAACCCUGCCUCACACCCAGCUAAAUCUGACUGGCUUAAA